UCGACGGGUAACAUAGCUAGCUUGCUAGCUGAUGACGAGUGGCGGACGGGUGAGUAACGCGUAGGAAUCUACCUAUUAGUGGGGGACAACCUGGUGAAAACCAGGCUAAUACCGCAUACGCCCUACGGGGGAAAGCAGGGGAUCUUCGGACCUUGCGCUAUUAGAUGAGCCUGCGUUAGAUUAGCUUGUUGGUGAGGUAAUGGCUCACCAAGGCGACGAUCUAUAGCUGGUCUGAGAGGAUGAUCAGCCACACUGGGACUGAGACACGGCCCAGACUCCUACGGGAGGCAGCAGUGGGGAAUAUUGCGCAAUGGGCGAAAGCCUGACGCAGCCAUACCGCGUGUGUGAAGAAGGGUUUAGGCUCGUAAAGCACUUUAAGUAGGGAGGGAGGCCUGUAAAUUAAUACUUUGCAGGAUUGACGUUACCUACAGAAUAAGCACCGGCUAACUCCGUGCCAGCAGCCGCGGUAAUACGGAGGGUGCAAGCGUUAAUCGGAAUUACUGGGCGUAAAGCGCGCGUAGGCGGUUUGUUAAGCGAGAUGUGAAAGCCCAGGGCUCAACCUUGGAACUGCAUUUCGAACUGGCAGGCUAGAGUACAAGAGAGGGUGGUAGAAUUUCCUGUGUAGCGGUGAAAUGCGUAGAUAUAGGAAGGAAUACCAGUGGCGAAGGCGGCCACCUGGCUUGAUACUGACGCCGAGGUGCGAAAGCGUGGGGAGCGAACAGGAUUAGAUACCCUGGUAGUCCACGCCGUAAACGAUGUCAACUAGCCGUUGGAGUCCUUGAGGCUUUAGUGGCGCAGCUAACGCGAUAAGUUGACCG
rnacentral:rRNA from 1 species